ACUCGCAGCCGGCCGGCAGCCUUCCAGUUGCCUGAGUCUCCAAAUCCAUCGCAUCGCGCGGGAAGCCGUGUAUUCGAUUCCAUUUCCAUCAGCCUUCGCCGGCUUCGUCAUCAAUCGUAGAACUUCAUACUCCAUUUCCAGUUCUAGGUGAGAUCAUCGGCAUCAUGGCCACACUCCAAUCACCUAUGAUCAGGAAGCAGAAGGAUCAAGCCGAUCAGGAGGCGAACGUUGCCAAAGACAACGAUGCGGGCAACAAUGCCGCCGGGACCUUCUCCUGGCUGACGCUCCUCGGGUUCCUCUUCCUCACAUUUAACUCACUCAUGGCUGUCGUUCGGUCCCAAGGGGACAGGAUGGCCAUCGCCUUCGUCAUUUUCUCCUACGCCGAUCUAGUGGCACUCUUCGUCUGCGUGAUGGUAUACGAGCGCGCCGGUGCUGGCUCGUCAAAGAGGGAGUGGCUCAAGGUCGCCAUCUGGAUAUUAACAACUCUACUGACGCUCGCCUUCUCCUAUAAGGUUGCGGUCGUCAUGCCCCCGCCGGUAGCAGUUCUGGUAUGGCUGAUGGCCUUCGCGACCAUUGCUGGAGGCUUCGUCGCCUUCUUCAUUUACAAAGAGAAGAAGUGAGGCAACAGUGUGGGGGUGACUCGGGCGGCCACCAAAAUGUUAGGCACAACUUUUACAUUGGAAUGAGUUGUAUGGGUCUGUCCCAGCUACGCACAAGGGAGUAAUACAAAGAGGAAUGUAUAGCAUUAUGG
rnacentral:lncRNA from 1 species